rnacentral:rRNA from 1 species
AGCAAUAUGAAGGUCAGGCUGAAGACCUUACCCGAUUUAGCUGAGAGGUGGUGCAUGGCCGUCGUCAGUUCGUACUGUGAAGCAUCCUGUUAAGUCAGGCAACGAGCGAGACCCACGUCCACAGUUGCCAGCAUACCCUCCGGGGUGAUGGGUACACUGUGGAGACCGCCGCUGCUAAAGCGGAGGAAGGAGUGGGCAACGGUAGGUCAGUAUGCCCCGAAUCUCUCGGGCUACACGCGGGCUACAAUGGUUGGUACAAUGGGCAUCUACCCCGAAAGGGGAAGGAAAUCUCUUAAAGCCAAUCGUAGUUCGGAUUGAGGGCUGCAACUCGCCCUCAUGAAGCUGGAAUCCGUAGUAAUCGCGUUUCAACAGAACGCGGUGAAUACGUCCCUGCUCCUU